UUAAGCGACUAAGCGUACACGGUGGAUGCCCUGGCAGUCAGAGGCGAUGAAGGACGUGCUAAUCUGCGAUAAGCGUCGGUAAGGUGAUAUGAACCGUUAUAACCGGCGAUUUCCGAAUGGGGAAACCCAGUGUGUUUCGACACACUAUCAUUAACUGAAUCCAUAGGUUAAUGAGGCGAACCGGGGGAACUGAAACAUCUAAGUACCCCGAGGAAAAGAAAUCAACCGAGAUUCCCCCAGUAGCGGCGAGCGAACGGGGAGUAGCCCAGAGCCUGAAUCAGUGUGUGUGUUAGUGGAAGCGUCUGGAAAGGCGCGCGAUACAGGGUGACAGCCCCGUACACAAAAAUGCACAUGCUGUGAGCUCGAUGAGUAGGGCGGGACACGUGGUAUCCUGUCUGAAUAUGGGGGGACCAUCCUCCAAGGCUAAAAUACUCCUGACUGACCGAUAGUGAACCAGUACCGUGAGGGAAAGGCGAAAAGAACCCCGGCGAGGGGAGUGAAAAAGAACCUGAAACCGUGUACGUACAAGCAGUGGGAGCACGCUUAGGCGUGUGACUGCGUACCUUUUGUAUAAUGGGUCAGCGACUUAUAUUCUGUAGCAAGGUUAACCGAAUAGGGGAGCCGAAGGGAAACCGAGUCUUAACUGGGCGUUAAGUUGCAGGGUAUAGACCCGAAACCCGGUGAUCUAGCCAUGGGCAGGUUGAAGGUUGGGUAACACUAACUGGAGGACCGAACCGACUAAUGUUGAAAAAUUAGCGGAUGACUUGUGGCUGGGGGUGAAAGGCCAAUCAAACCGGGAGAUAGCUGGUUCUCCCCGAAAGCUAUUUAGGUAGCGCCUCGUGAAUUCAUCUCCGGGGGUAGAGCACUGUUUCGGCAAGGGGGUCAUCCCGACUUACCAACCCGAUGCAAACUGCGAAUACCGGAGAAUGUUAUCACGGGAGACACACGGCGGGUGCUAACGUCCGUCGUGAAGAGGGAAACAACCCAGACCGCCAGCUAAGGUCCCAAAGUCAUGGUUAAGUGGGAAACGAUGUGGGAAGGCCCAGACAGCCAGGAUGUUGGCUUAGAAGCAGCCAUCAUUUAAAGAAAGCGUAAUAGCUCACUGGUCGAGUCGGCCUGCGCGGAAGAUGUAACGGGGCUAAACCAUGCACCGAAGCUGCGGCAGCGACGCUGAUGCGUUGUUGGGUAGGGGAGCGUUCUGUAAGCCUGCGAAGGUGUGCUGUGAGGCAUGCUGGAGGUAUCAGAAGUGCGAAUGCUGACAUAAGUAACGAUAAAGCGGGUGAAAAGCCCGCUCGCCGGAAGACCAAGGGUUCCUGUCCAACGUUAAUCGGGGCAGGGUGAGUCGACCCCUAAGGCGAGGCCGAAAGGCGUAGUCGAUGGGAAACAGGUUAAUAUUCCUGUACUUGGUGUUACUGCGAAGGGGGGACGGAGAAGGCUAUGUUGGCCGGGCGACGGUUGUCCCGGUUUAAGCGUGUAGGCUGGUUUUCCAGGCAAAUCCGGAAAAUCAAGGCUGAGGCGUGAUGACGAGGCACUACGGUGCUGAAGCAACAAAUGCCCUGCUUCCAGGAAAAGCCUCUAAGCAUCAGGUAACAUCAAAUCGUACCCCAAACCGACACAGGUGGUCAGGUAGAGAAUACCAAGGCGCUUGAGAGAACUCGGGUGAAGGAACUAGGCAAAAUGGUGCCGUAACUUCGGGAGAAGGCACGCUGAUAUGUAGGUGAAGCGACUUGCUCGUGGAGCUGAAAUCAGUCGAAGAUACCAGCUGGCUGCAACUGUUUAUUAAAAACACAGCACUGUGCAAACACGAAAGUGGACGUAUACGGUGUGACGCCUGCCCGGUGCCGGAAGGUUAAUUGAUGGGGUUAGCGCAAGCGAAGCUCUUGAUCGAAGCCCCGGUAAACGGCGGCCGUAACUAUAACGGUCCUAAGGUAGCGAAAUUCCUUGUCGGGUAAGUUCCGACCUGCACGAAUGGCGUAAUGAUGGCCAGGCUGUCUCCACCCGAGACUCAGUGAAAUUGAACUCGCUGUGAAGAUGCAGUGUACCCGCGGCAAGACGGAAAGACCCCGUGAACCUUUACUAUAGCUUGACACUGAACAUUGAGCCUUGAUGUGUAGGAUAGGUGGGAGGCUUAGAAGUGUGGACGCCAGUCUGCAUGGAGCCGACCUUGAAAUACCACCCUUUAAUGUUUGAUGUUCUAACGUUGACCCGUAAUCCGGGUUGCGGACAGUGUCUGGUGGGUAGUUUGACUGGGGCGGUCUCCUCCUAAAGAGUAACGGAGGAGCACGAAGGUUGGCUAAUCCUGGUCGGACAUCAGGAGGUUAGUGCAAUGGCAUAAGCCAGCUUGACUGCGAGCGUGACGGCGCGAGCAGGUGCGAAAGCAGGUCAUAGUGAUCCGGUGGUUCUGAAUGGAAGGGCCAUCGCUCAACGGAUAAAAGGUACUCCGGGGAUAACAGGCUGAUACCGCCCAAGAGUUCAUAUCGACGGCGGUGUUUGGCACCUCGAUGUCGGCUCAUCACAUCCUGGGGCUGAAGUAGGUCCCAAGGGUAUGGCUGUUCGCCAUUUAAAGUGGUACGCGAGCUGGGUUUAGAACGUCGUGAGACAGUUCGGUCCCUAUCUGCCGUGGGCGCUGGAGAACUGAGGGGGGCUGCUCCUAGUACGAGAGGACCGGAGUGGACGCAUCACUGGUGUUCGGGUUGUCAUGCCAAUGGCACUGCCCGGUAGCUAAAUGCGGAAGAGAUAAGUGCUGAAAGCAUCUAAGCACGAAACUUGCCCCGAGAUGAGUUCUCCCUGACCCUUUAAGGGUCCUGAAGGAACGUUGAAGACGACGACGUUGAUAGGCCGGGUGUGUAAGCGCAGCGAUGCGUUGAGCUAACCGGUACUAAUGAACCGUGAGGCUUAACCUU
rnacentral:rRNA from 1 species